rnacentral:lncRNA from 1 species
AAAAAGACAACAGCAGAGGGUCACCAACAGGUCUUCAAUGUAGCGAGAAAUUCCCGCACCCGGAGGCGUCCUUCAGCUGGCCCCUAAACAAAUAUAUACUAGUCCAGUGAUAAUGAACCCCAUACUAAUUUCCAAAUUGUACACAAGAAACUAAAAUUAAAAUAAUACAAGACUAACAAAGGCCAGAGGCUCCUGACUUGGGACAGGCGCAAAAAUGCGGCGGGGUUAAACAUGUUUGUGAGAUCUCAACCCUCCCCCUAUACCUCUAACCAAUGUAGAAAAGUAAACGCAUAACAAUACGCAC